CAUCGAGGUCGUAAACCCAUUUGUCGAUAGGGGCUCUUAAAAUGGAUUGCGCUGUUAUCCCUAGGGUAACUUGGUUCGUUGAUCAAAAAUAUUGGGUCAAUUAAUGUUAAUUUAUUAGUGCUUAAAGUCGUGGCUUUUGGUUCAGGAGUAGCUCCGUUCAACAUGGAGGUUAAGUUUUGCUCCGUGGUCACCCCAACCUAAAACUAGUAAUCAUAGUGGCUAGAGUAGUUAUGAAAAUUCUGGAAUAUUUUAAUGUUUAAGCCAGUGUUACAUGGUUUAAAGCUCCAUAGGGUCUUCUCGUCUUAUAAUUAUAUCCCCGCUUCUUCACGGGGAGAUCAGUUUCAUUGAUUGGAAAAAGGAGACAGUAUAACCCUCGUGGUGCCAUUCAUACUAGUCCUCAUUUAAAGAACAAGUGAUUACGCUACCUUCGCACGGUUAGGAUACCGCGGCCGUUGAACUCAGUCACUGGGCAGGCUGGACCUCUUAUAUAGGUGCAAGAGGCGAUGUUUUUGGUAAACAGGCGAGGUUAAUGUUUGCCGAGUUCCUUCUUUUUCUUUAAAUCUUUCUUGAAAUGUUCUAGUGUUAGGUUAACGUCAAAUAAGGCAGGGUUUUCUUGAGGAGUUGCUGUCUUAAGUUCACAGACGUUUAAUUAUCAGUGGGGUGUCCUUUCUGAUUUACACUUACAUUUAAGAGAAGGUCUUACUUCUUAUUACUAGUUUUAACAUAAUACCUUCUAUAGGAAUAUAGAGAUGCUUAAUAGAAAUAAAGGG
rnacentral:rRNA from 1 species